AGCAGAGGACAAGUUGUUUUUUGUUUUUUUUUUAGAGACUGUUUGAAACUUCAGAUCUUGCGAUAUAUUUUAAGCAUAAUUUUUAUUGGAGUGCAGCCUGGAUCAGCAGGGCUUUGACGGGCCGAAGAAAGAGGGCGCACCCUAGAGGGAGGGACAGUGGGAUAACAGGUAUACUGGGGUCGGGCAGGGACUCUGGGCUGCCUGACUUGGAUGGAGCUUCUGAAGGUCCCAGGCACUGCAACACACAGAUCUGGUCCUCCAGGACUCUGCUGGGCCCUUGCUAUUUCUUCGGCAGCACAAGCCCUUUUUGCUUCCUCCCCAGGCAUGGGAGAUUCGCCACACGUGAGCGCCCACUGUCUGUCAUUAGAAGGCUCACCGUCCCAGCCUCCCUGGCAGCUCUCAUACAGCAAAACUCAGACACCCACUGCGGACCCUGAGAUUCCUGCAGGCGCCCCGCGGAGUGCACUCCCACAGCCAGAGAUGGUUUCUGUUGCAACUCCGAGUCCUGACCUUGGGAUGGCUGCUUUUGAGGAGUGGUGAGAGAGGAGGCUGCGUGAGGCCCUUGUGAUACUCCGACUCUGCCUCGGCGCUCAGGGUGUCCACAUAAACAGACGCACUGUUCUCCCACCUGCCCCGCCGCCAGGGGUGGCCACUAGCAGUUCUAGUAGGGAAGACUGAGCCAGCCUUUCUGCUAAACUUGUUUUCUUUCCGACCUUCCCCCUUUUGUCCCUCUGCCGUUUUUAUUCUUCUCACCUGGAA
ensembl:lncRNA